CUAAUUCUCUGGUGCAAAGCUUCUCAUUCUGACACUUCUGCUAAGAUGUGGCUGGUCACUGGAUCCUGGAGAUGCAAAUGUCAGAGAAAGAUACAUGAGCUGUAGGUCCUGGAUGAGGAGGUGACAUUCAUGAUGCCCUUUCGAUCACAUGCCAAAGCAGCCAAACAGCUUCAGUUACAGAACAGACAGCACUGACAAAGGUUCUGCUCGCCAAUGCUUGCUAGUGACACUGGAAGCAGGCUGCACUUCCUCAUGAGAGCUGCUGUGCUGGUGAGGCUGCACUUGGGAGACAGGUAAGUCCCAGCUGCACCUCACUCCUCAGUUGCUGCUAAUGUGUUUCUCAUUCACUCCAUGCUGGUCUGCACCAAGGGAUCCCGCAGCCUGGAGUCAGCUGGGGUGACGCAGCGAACGCUUCAGACAGUCAGUGCUGCAACAGUGGGCGCAAUUGUGACACUUCAAUCAGAAGUUCCUCUGAUGAAUCCCACUAUAAGGAGGAGGUCCAGAAAUGAAUGCUUCCCACACUGCUUUAAGACUUUACAGUGACCUUCCCUGUUUCUCUGCUCUGGAUUGUCCCUUUCACAAAGGAUUCCUUUGCAUGCACCACAAAGACGGAUGUCUUGGCGUCAAACGGCUUGUUCUGGGCCGCAAUUCUCUCCUUUUCUGACUUUCGGAGGGCCUGGAUUCCACUGGGACUAGAAGCAAACCACAGCACAGUCAGAAGCAGCAGAGCGAGAGAAAUCUCUAUAUACAGAUGGUCCUUCACAGACAUACAGUGUGGGCGAAGUGCUGGCGUGAUGACACCCAGGCAUGCUUGAAAACAGAUCCCAUCCCACUUUCUCUAACAUCAGCGGAAGAGAUCUGGGCAAUAGAUUCUGUCCAAGGAGAUGACAUUCAGGAUGCCCUUUCUAUCACCCACCAAAGCAGCUGGGGGGCUCCUGUUACAGAGCAGAUUCUGCGCUUUUCAGCAAGGGCUUGAUCUUGAAGAAGAGCUUCAUCCAGGGCCAGUGCUUGACAUUCAUGAAUGCACGAAUGUUGUACUGGAUACAGAAAAUGGACUCUCUGAAAGGAAGCCCCUGCACCUGGCCUGUGUGCGGGUGAUGAUCUGUGCCAGCUUCUCAUCUCUCAUCUCUUCCAAGAGGCCUAUCAGCCCCGCUUUGAAGAACACCUUAGGGCUGGACUGCAGUAGGACCAGAAGCAAACCACAGCAUAGUUAGAAGAGAAGAGGUGGACUGAAACCCAUCUCUGGAUACAGACUGUCCUGCACAGCAAUGCGGUGUCGGCAAGGUGCACAUUCCCCAUGGAGGAGAAAGGAUUCAGUCAUGCUGAAAAUAGAUCCUUCUUGAGACAGAGAUCAGGCAGCUGCCUCCCUUUCUGCCAGCCCUUAAGAUGUGUAUUUUCUUUUCCUGAUCCUUGCGGUUAGCUGAGAGACAAGGAGUGAGAAGGCAUUUUUUAGCUGGGCAGCACAGCCAGACUGGAGAGGGGAGGUGCCUGCAGACUGCUGCGUGUUGGCUGGUGGGAACCUCCCUCUCAUACUUGUUCAGCUCAUGGAAACAUGAGAACAUACCUGUAUGGCAGGAGGGUUUGCAGCAGGAAAAGGAAUCUCUUACUGUAGUCCGGUGAUCCCCAGUCUUUCACACUGGGAGCUACGCUCAGACCCUCUGCUCCUAGAACAGACUGCCCUCCAAGAAGAAGGACUUUGGGGUUAUGGUGGAUAUGAAUAUGAGUGCUCUCACUGCAAACAGGACAAACUAAGUGGUGUUAGAAGCAUGGUCAGCGGAUUAUAGGAAGCUGUUAUCCCUUUUGCUUGACACUGGUGAGUCCUCACCUGAAACAGUUUGUCCAGUUUUAGGCUCCCCAGUUCAAAAGAGAUGUGAACUAAUGGGAGAAGGUCCAGCAGAAGGCUAGCAAGAUAGGCAAGGGUCUAGAAAACUUGUGCUAUGAAGAGAGUUUGAGGGCAUGUUUAGUUUGAGGAAAAAAGGGCUAAUUUACAUGAGUGGCUGUUACAAAGACAACGUGCCAAGCUUUUUUCAAGAGUAGCUGACAAUGUAACAAGGGGCAAUGACCACAAAUUAUUGCUUGAAAGUCUCCAGUUAGACAUUAAGAAAAUUCUUUCCUAUUGGUUAAUGGAGAAAUGGCACAGGCUACCUGGAGAGGCUGUGGAGACUCUGACCAAAAAACUUGGCUAGUCAAAGCCAUGACUGAUCUCACCAGUGCUGGCAACAGAUCUGCUUGAAGUGGGAGACUGAACUGAAGACCUCCAGAUGUUCAUUCGCAAUGGCAUUUCUGUGGCUUUAAUGUAGGUUCCCUCUAUCCAUCCAAAGUAGACAAAUGCUCAAAGAUAAGCAGAGAAGGUAUCUGCAGCUUCAUGUCUUGUGCUAAGAAACAGAAAUUUUCCUGGAAUCGUGAAAAGCAGCUUUUCUCAAGUGAACCGUCUGUGAUCUCACUGAAUUGUUGGAGACAGUUAAUUUCAUGCAGCUUGUCAAAACAUAUUCCUCCAGGACGCCAAUUCCAGAAUAGCACUUCUCAAGUACAUCAUCUGGAAACGUCCUUAGCAGCAGUAAGCUUCAGUAGCUUUCAGUCCUUGAAGAGCAGAGUGGUACGCAGGCAGACAGAAAAUUGUGGAGCUCACUGGGGCAGCAAAGUGCAUCAUAUCAUGUCAGAAAGAAGUUCCACCAGGUGAGGGGCAGGAGGGUACAGGAGGGUCCUCUUGUUAUCACAGGCUGGACACAUUCAUGGUGGGAAUUGUAUGCUGGUGAGCAUUUCCGCAGCCCCGUUACAGGGAUUUAGGGAUCUGCUACAAACCUUUUUCAUUCUGAGUCACUAGAUAGUGUUUGUCGGAGAAUGUGUGGAUAAUAGAUGAACAGCAACUAACAUCACCACCGUGUUCUUUCUGACCGUAACAUAACAUUGAAGGAAAUAAGAUUACACGAUGUCCCUGACAAUGGCAGGGGGGGUUGGACUUGAUGAUCGUUAAAGGUCCCUUCCAUCCCAAACCAUUCUGUGAUUCUGUGUGAUUCUGUGAAUGGCUGUACUGAGGGAGAUCAAAGGAACAUGUAGACUCUCACACCUGAGACAUUUGUUGUCAUCCCAGUCUCCCCAGAUACCCACCCUCCACAGGAUGUCCCACCCAUGUGGUGAAGCCUAGAGCACAAAUCACCUCAAGUUGGUGAAAAUGUCUGUGACUGGAGCAAAACCGAAUAAGGCACACCUGGGAAACUGUACUGAAAACAGCAACCUAUUUUUCUAUGUCACUGCCAAUGGGAGAGAGAAAAACAAGUUCCUAUCAUCUCUAUGUGAAGCCUAAGCAGCCUUUGGCCUUCUCAGGUCUGUGACCUACCUGUCGCCCAGCACGGAGCCAGUAAUGCUCACGGGAUACGGCAGACAUCUCCUUUAACAAGGAUCCCCUUGCACACUCUGCUAGUGAGCCGUGGGAGGCUGGAGAGAGCUCAAAGCUGCGGACCUUCUGCUCCAGUAGAAAACCUCCUCCUGUGGGCUGCUGGCCUGGGGAGCAGGCUCAGGUGCCUACUCAGAUAGCAAUGUCUCCUGUACCUGGGACAGGUCUCUUCUGCUGCUCCUCCUCAGGUGAUCAGGGUCCCUGAUGCCCCAGUGGAGAACUGGGAGGUGCUGAGGGCCAUGGGACCAUGAGUAUCUGCAAGGAUGUGCUGCUCCUCUGAGCACACAUCAGAGCUAAGGUGAAAUGAAGUCAGCCCUACAUGUGGUAGGCAAUUACUAGUGAUUAUUCUGCCCCGCUUCAGCCUAACCAGCUUGUUGGGUGACUGGUCUCCAGACCCUCAUAAAACACUGUAAAUAUUCCAUAACAUAGAAUUUAUAUACAUCUGUUCUGGUUUUAUAUACAUGAACAUUUGAUGUGUUACCAACUGUCUCUAAACACUGUCACAUAGGUGACAGACUUGCUGACAAGCAGCUUUUGCUUGGACAUGCUUCUGAAGUUAGGUUCCUCCCAUUUAUAAUGACCAAAUAUGACCUGGUAUCAAAAAAGUUCGAAGAUCUUUGUCUAUCUAUCUGCUGCAUGUAUGAGCAUCUAUUCCCCCAAAAUCUCCAGAGGAAGAACAUCCUGCCUGGUCACUGGUACGAAAGAAACUGAUUGCACAGCAAAGCCAUUCGCUUUCUUUUAUUUGAUAAAACCCUCUCAGACAGGCGUUACAGUACUAGGAUGCUUCCUAACUGAAGACAGUCUGAUGCUGUUUCUGGCUAUCUUGCCCUUGCAUUGCUACCCGUUAGCUGAUAAACAGCACCUGAGGAAAGGGUUUUUUUAAUAAUUUCGAUGCCAGGCAUUGGGACAAGUGUGUUGCUGCAGAGGGAGGUGGAAGUGGCUGAGCUUGUACAGGUAAGUGUAGGAAGAUCACUGACUUUCCAGGCUUGCUGGCGGGAUAGAUGGGGAAAAGCGGUGGCUGUGGUUUCUGGGAGCAGCUAUUUAGCACUACCCACUGCUCUAACAUGCCUACCCACCAUGGUAAUCUCACCUCGCAGAUCUCUGACGUAGGCAAAGCCAUUUUGCUGUGAUCAUUAUUGCAAUUAGUAUCCCCUGUUCCUGAAUACUUUUGACUACAGUGGCUUUUCUUGUUUCACUCCCUUCCUUCCCUUUCCCCAGGUCUUCAGAGAAUUUUAAGCCCAAAUAAUUUGCUUUUCCAGCUGCUAUACAAAACUCAACCUCAGCUUAUUUGAGAGGAUAUGAAACAGCAGCUGUGCAUCCAUCUCCCAGCUGAAAACAACGAGGAUGUGUAAGGCUUGCUCAGCUGUGAGAAAGCCAAAGCAGAAAAAAGGCAUCAUGCAGCGAUAGCCCCAUAAAUCUGAGAGUAAGCAGACAGCCAUAUCAGCCUAGAGCAAAGGUCCAGCUGGUAUUUUGUGCAUGAGUGUACAUUGGAUACUUGGUGAAAAUCCAAUUUCACUUUUUCCAUGCUACUUAUAAUAUUAUGUAAGCAUAUAAUCUUCCCACCUGGUUGUUCCUUUCCCAAAGUGAAAGAUCAUAGUCCGGACAGUUUGUCUCCCCAGUGCUCUGUACCCUUCCUAAUUGCCCAGGCCAAAACUGCAGAUAGCAAGUGGUUUGUGGGCCUGGUGCAAUGAUUUCUGUUUUGUUCUUACUUGAUCCUGAUGAUUCCUGAUACUCUGUUUGCCUUUUGUCGCCACCAGUGAGCACUGACUUGACGUUUGGAGGCAACUAUUCACUAUUCUGGUAACCUUCCUAUCUCCUAAUCCUGGUCCUCCUUUUAGAGACUAAAUUUCUAUAGGGUUUGGUCUAAGUAUGGCUCAGAGUCAUUGUAUGGACAGAGAAGUUGAUGUUCUGUUUCAUCUGCAUAAAGGGUUUCUAUGACUGAUGCCCAUACAGUUUGCCUUACAAGGACAACAUCUUUCUUAGUGGCUUUCAGCGAAAUGACAUUGAGUGAGACUCGAGAGAGGCACAGCCCAGCUAACAGAGCAGUGGGGAGACAGGUCAAGCAGCAAACUUUUAUUUGGGGGUGAGCAGCUCUUCACUGAGUACCAGAGUUGUGCCGUUAUUGAGAGCCCUCGUGUUCCCAGCAGAUAUCAGCGGAAGAGCUGGACGAGGAGGCGACAUUCAGGAUGCCCUUUCUAUCACCCACCAAAGCAGCUGAGGAGCUCCUGUUACAGAGCAGGGGAGUGGGGUGGGCAGGGUAAGACACCUCUGGGUAAGACAAAAAAAAAAGAGAGCAAGUGGCAAGAGGGGGAGGGAAGGGAAGAAAAAUCAGGAUUAGGUGCAUAAUAUUAACACUAGCAACAACUGUAUGCAAAAAAAGAGAGCUAAAAAGAGAGGUGCUGCCUUCCCAGGCUGACGCUCAUCUGCGACAGAUGACCAAAUACCACUUUUGGGCAGAUUUCACUGUUGUAAAUGGAAAUAUACUGGUAUGGACUUUGUAUAAACCUCUUCACUUUAAGCAUUAGACUUUUCCAGGUGAAGACAGCCCACUGGAUUACCACAGGAUUGUCCGAGUGCCAGAGUCACUGCAGUAAAGUUACCAACAGGAUGUGUCAAAGAAUUUUCUAGUGACAUUUUCUGAACUAACUUUUUAUGUUGCAGACAAGUUCCUUUUGCACCCUCAGAAAAUUUGUUAACAGCCUCAUUAUUUCACGUUGGCAGAUAAAUUUCCUUGGUGGUCAGCCUAAACAGUUCCUCAAUUGCUCUCUGCAUCCAUCUGAGAUGCCGAGGGAAGGAUACAAAUCGCUGCUCGUCCUGAAAGACAAAUCAGUUGUGUAAAGCAGAACAGCUCCAGCAGGACACAAUGACAGCGACAUGUCACCAGAGAGCCAGCAACCAGGGUGUUUUACCUCUCAAUCAGGACCGCGGCCUGAAAAAAUACAUGCUAAGUCUGCCUCAGCUCAAGAUGCAGUGCCAACUUCACCCCAUCACUGCUUUGCUGAGCAACACAGGCGUAUGUUGCCUUCCUUCCAAAUCAGUCCCUCAGGUCCCUCAGAGUGUCUGCUGCUCCUCUGAGAAGUGCCUCCAGGUAGCCCGUAUCUCACAGGGUGUCUUCUAGGGUCUCACAGAGACUCAUCCCAUGAUCCCACAUUUCUGCCUGCCCCUUACCUUAGCUAAGCCUGGACUUUACCUCUCCAGGCUCUGAUCCCAAAGCAGGACCACAUUUCUCCAGCAGUGCUGUGCUGACAUGGGGGCUGUGCUGCCGGCAAGGGGCUGGGAGGAGGCAGGGCCUGUAAGGCCUCAGUCAUGAGAGCUUAACAGCAAGGCUCAGAUGAUUCUUCCUCUCCUGGGGCUCCUGACAGGACAUUGAAGUGUGAACUGUUGAAUUUUACUUUACUGACAAAGCGUUUCUUAAGGGGAAUGUUUUCAAACAUUUGCUCUACUUUUACUGGAAUGCUGCAUUUGAACUUAGGAGAUCCCUGGCCUUCCAUAUGGGACAGCAGUUCUAUAUGAGUCCAUCAGCUGCAUCUAUUUUAAACUUUCUCUCAGAGAUGUUCGUUUAUGGCCACGAUGGACUGAUGUUUUUCUCAAGACCUUUGCACAAGCCCUUAUCAGGUGACUGGCAGCCUCACUCCACAGAUAGAGUGUCAAUGCAAAAUGACCCUCAUUCUCCAUAAAGCAGUGAGGAAUUCAUCUUCCUUACAUCAGUGUCCCACUUUGAUCCUGAUAAUCCAGCAGGCUUUAUAGCAGUGGCUGUCAGUGGAGAUUUUUUCCCUCUGCUCCUCCUGCAUGCAUCCUCCCCUGGCUCAAAACUGCUAAUUUGUUCCUUUCCCCAUUACGUAUCUCCCGCCUCCUCCCAGGACAGGCAGGAGAAGCUAGCAUCACUCAGAUGCUUAGCUUCUGCUCCCAUCUUCUCAUUCACAUCUGGGUUGUUUUUUCUUUUUCUUGGAAGAGUCUUCAAAAAACAUACACAUGGGUGGUGGCCACAGGCUGGGCUCACAGAGUGUCAAGGUAGGUCCCUGUGGGGUGGGCCACAGCAGCAGCUCAAAACUUGGGCCACUCUGCACCAUCCCCAUCCACUUACCUCCUGCCAGAAAGAGCAGCAGCUCCUGUGGCCUACCCUGCCUGGGGAGCAGGACGGUGCAGCUGGGGUCUGGCCAUGUCUGGGGGCUUCCAGACUCAAGCUGGGGACUGCCAGAAGUCCCUGAAGUCUUCAGCCCUCUGGGAAGGCACAUCUUUUCACUGCCUCCUCCCAAUACAUCUUGUGGUCCUGGGUUUGGGAAAUGCUGCCUGAGGAUGCCAGCUCCCCACAGCACAGCGCGCGGGCAUGAGCGAUGAGCCGAGUGCCAUGUGCAGUGGUAACGAAACAACAUACCGCCUUACUGUACAGAUUAAAUACAGUAAAAUAUUUCCUCUAAUCUAAAAUUACCUUUACAAAUCUCCCUCGAGGUGAGCUACAAAUUAGAUAGAUUGUCAUUUGCAGAUUAUCAUUGCAGUGUUUCCCAGGAGUUUCUCCUCAGGUUUCUCCUGACUUUUCUUCCCCAAACCUGAUGCUGAGGUGUCAUUUCGUCCACCUCGACAUCCUUUACGAUCUUAUCACUUAUCCCUUUCCCUCACACACAUCCAUCUCACUUUCCUCCUCCCAGACGCCUCCCUGCACUCCCCAGCACUAUUUCAGCCCUACCUCAGCACUGGGAUUGCUCUUAUUCCCACCCUCUCUCACUUAUCAGAUUAUUAAUUUUUUUCUGCAACAAGAGUCACAUGAAGGCGAGUUCAGCUGCCUGCAUCACAGUUAAAGCACUGGGGCCCCAGUUCUGCAUUUGACCUGAACGUGUCCAUUGGCUGCUCCUGCUCCACUUGGCUGACAAAGGGUACAUGGCUUUCUGCAAUGCUGCUGGUUCUGGAGCAAGCUUGGAGCAAGCCUUGCCUCUGUCUUCCUCACCAGGGAAGGGAUUGGUGGAUGGAGGCCUCUUGCUGAUAAGCAAAAAAUAGGCUUUCAGGUCCACAGGCAUUGCUUUAAUUUGUUGGUGCCCAAGAGAAGUGACGUUCCCCUGCACCACAAACUGAGCCCCAGCUGAGCGCUGGAAGUACCUGGGCAGCUGCUGUGCUCCCUGUGGGACAGCACGUCCCAGGAGGCCACAGCGAGCACCCAGACGCUGGGUUGGCACAGCAUCAUUCCACAGACGUCAGAGGGGCCGCUCCUGAUUUAUGGUCUUACCAGGGAGAGCACACUCGGGCCUGCUUCUGAUCUUUAACAUUUCAGCUGAGAAAGGGGCUGUGCCGGAGCAAGUCUCUCUCGGGUAAGAAUAGCAUCUGCCAUCUUAGGACGCAACACAGUUGUCCCGCUCCUACGUGGCAGCACAUUGCGCUGAGAUAUAGAAGGCAACCUACCCGCCCAGGAAUGUCUUCGAGCGCUAUUAGUGGAAGCGUAUCAGCUACACAAACAGGCAUGACCCCGCACAGGAGUCUUGCAAGAGCGGGGCUAUUUUGAGCUUCUGACAGUGAGGAUGAAGGCAGACAAAUGAGGGGCUGAUCCUCCCGGCAUGGGCAACCUCCAAAACUCUCUGCGGCCUUGUCUCCUCCUCUGGGAAUCACUUGUGUGAAGGCUGAUGGGCGAUUUGGUGGGACCUCAGAGCCCAGGAGGCAGGGGCCAGGAAGGAGCUGUGAAUGUGGGGGGACGCAAGGCUAGGCCUCAGUCCCACCACACGGCCCACCGUGCUGAUGGCAAGUCCUGCCUGAGGCUGUGCACCUGUCCCCAAGCUUAGGGCACACAGCUGCCUGCUUUAUUUUUGACUGCAUCCGUGAGAGCUAGAGAGAUACCAGAGGUGUGUAACUGCGUGCAAGGGAAACACAAAUCCUUUUCAUCCAGGAGGGUAUUCUCUUGCCACCUGAAGCUCUCUGUCUCUGAGGGGUUCUUUGGUAUCAUGGAUGUCUGAAAUGCCUCUUUUCCUCUUCUUCCCAGCCAUUUCAAAUCUCCUCCCCAACUA